UAACGGAAUCAAUAACUCCCGAACGUGCUGUGUUUUUGCAAAUCGUCCCGAACGCGGUGCUAGCCGUCGGCCGAAUCUUGAUGACAUCCCCAUGCCACGUCAUCACGAGCGUAGCGUUCGGGAUGAUGUUGGAUCGGCCGAACGAGUUUCACCACUUAUCCACUCGCAGCUCCAUUCCCCUCCCACUCGACACCACUCACCCACUCUCCCUUUUCGUCGCCGGAUUGGAAGACGGCCGGCCAAAUCAUGGCGUCGCGCGGCGGAGGCGGGCCGGAGCAGCUGGGGCGGGAGCUGGGCCUCGAGGACGCCUGCGUCUACGCGCACGAGAUGUGGCAAGCGAGCGGGGCGAACGCUGGGUCAACGCCCACCCGCGCUGGAGGUUGGGGACGCCGGCGGGCAGGAGAGGCAGGGGAGGCCAGACCCUUCGGCAGCGAGCACGGGACGACGACGAACGGUGGAGGUCCGGAAGAGGGCGGCUUGAGCGAGUCGCGGCGGCCGCCACGGCGCCGGCUUCUCCCGCCGACCUCGUCUGAUGCGCGGCCGCCCGGAGUCGACGACGCCAUCGUGCACCGCGGCGCCCUCCAAGGCGACUGCUUCUCCCGCCGACCUCGUCCGAUGCGCGGCCGCCUGGAGGCGACGACGCCAUCCUGCGCCACGGUGCCCUCCACGGCGUAGGCUUCUCCUAGCACAGCUACCAUACGCUGCCCAUGGGCAACGGGCACAUCCUCAUCAUCUUCUCGCCGUCAGUUGAAGAUAGUCUUCCUGAACAGGUUCAGUUUUAUGUCACUAGCUUAGCACUGAUGGUGAUUUAGCCCAGUUUGUAUGUUGCAAAUUUUAUGUGAUUCAUUUUUUCUCAGUCAUUCAUGAAUUUUCAGAAACUGUUUUUACUUUCUGUUGUGAUGCUAAUUGACAAAUAUUGCAUGCCAAUCUUUUUUUGAAAUUAUAGUUGAUGGCAUGUCAAAAUAUGUUUUUUGCCAUGUCAACCCAACUUUUGCUGCCAUCCCAAUUUAAAUUAUUUUUUUACCAUGGCAAUCAUCAUAGUUUGUUGCAUGGAAAACACAAAAUAUGUUGCCAUGUCGAAAUACUGUUUUACAUUGCCAUGGCAUAUGUUUUUACUUUUUACCAUGUCCCUGAAGCUGUGAGUAGUACUAUUUUUUCAUCGCAAUUUAUAGAUGUUCUUCUCAAUAAAUCGUGACAAUUUCUUUGUAGAUGUCGCCAUUUUUUCACUAGCUCCCACCAAUUUUUUGUUUGCAAAUUUUUGUAGAUCUCGCUAUUUAGAAUUGUGUAGUUAUUUGUCCAGGCACUUUUUUUGCAGAUGAUGAGAUGCUAAUGGACUAGAUUUCCUUGGCAAUUCUAGGAAACUAUAGUUCAUGGACACCCCCACAAUGUACAGUUUAUGACAAUCAAAUUAUGUUUUUUGCCAUCGAAUCUCAAAUCUUACAUGUGUUAAUAUGUCCCCAUCGAAACUUAAUUGCCAUGCUUGUGUCUUUUCUUUAGGGUACAUUACAGAUUUACAGAUAUAUCACAUUCUCUUUUGCCAUGGCAACUUUUGAUUUUGGAUAUGUCCCCAUCGAAACUUAAUUGUCAUGCUUGUGUCUUUUCUUUAGGGUACAUUACAGAUUUAUUGCAUUCUUGCCAUGGCAACUUUUUAUUUUGGAUAUGUCCCCAUCGAAACUUAAUUGCCAUGCUUGUGUCUUUUCUUUUAGGGUACAUUACAGAUUUAUUGCAUUUCUUACCAUGAAAACUUUUGAUUUUGGAUCAUAACGCAAAUUUAUUGUCUUUUACCAUAGCAUUUUUUUGGUACACCAUGGCAACUAAUCUUAUACUUUUUGCCAUCUAAACUUUCAAAUUUUAGUUUAUUGAUCAUGGCAAAUUUAGUUCUCGGAUCAUGGCAAAUUCAUUGCUUUCUUGCCAUGGCAACUUUUUUAUUUUUUAAAAUUGUCGCUGUAAUUCUUUAAAUUGUCAAAAACAACACAAAUGGCAAAUAUUGCCAUGGCAAGUUAUACUAAUUAUUUCACCUUUAUUAACAUGGCGAAUUUAGCUAAAUCCCCAUGACAAUUUUUAACUUUUAUUGCCAUGGCAAGUUUACUAUUUAUUAUCCUUGGACAAUUUACCUUUUAUUAACAUGGCAAAUUUGCCUAAAUCCUCAUGGCAAUAUCUAACUUUUAUUGCCAUGACAAGUUUUACUAUUUAUUUGACUUUUAUUAACAUGGCAAAUUUUACCUAAAUCCCCAUGGCAAUAUCAAACUUUUAUUGCCAUGGCAAGUUUUACUAUUUAUUUGCCAUGGCUAAUAUACCUUCAUUAACAUGCCAAAUUCACCUAAAUCCCCAUGGCAAUAUUUAACUUUUAUUGCCAUGGCAAGUUUUACUUUUUAUUUGCCAUGGCUAAUUUACCUUUAUUAACAUGGCAAAUUUACCUAAAUUCCCAUGGCAGUUUUUAACUUUUAUUGUCAUUGCAAGAUUCACUAUUAUUUGAUCUUUAUUAACAUGGCAGAUUUUACUUUUAUUUUUGCAUGCCAAUUAUUAAUUUUUCUACACCAUGGCAAAAUUAACCUUUAUUGCCAUGGCCAAUUUACCUUUUAUUUCCCAUGAAUUUUUUUAUUUAAUUUACAUGGCAAUUUUAAUUUUUGUCACUAAUGGCAAACAUACUUCUAUGCAGCAUCGCAAGUUUUACUUUUAUUUUGCCAUGGCAAAAAUACUUAGAAAACACGGCAAUUUAUUACUAAACAAUAGAUUGUGCAUUUUUUGCUUUGUGCUUCGACAAAUUUAUAUAGUAAAAAUAGCAUACACAUUUUUAAUCCAUAUUUUCUUCCCAUCAUGGUACAGAUGCUAACUCCCAUGAUUUUAUUUUUCCUUUUUGUGCCGUUGCAUAAAAAAUAUUUUCUUGCCAUCAUGGUACGAUGCAAACAUUGUUUAUAAAGAUGAUGGCAAUUUUUUGUUUGAAACCAUUGGGAUUCUUUUAGUAGUAUCUUGUUUUCCAUUUUCUAUCUAUCAUUACAUUUUUUUGGACUUUUUCAGUGAUGGCAAGUUCAUAUGCAUCCACACUGCACAUUUGCCAUGUUUUUGAUUGGUAAACAACAAAAUUGCCAUGGCAAAUUCAUACAUUUUGACAUCUUUGCAAAGAAGAUCUUUCUGGUUCAUUCAUAUUAUAGAGGUAGAGAUCUCAUGGUUCAUUCAUACAUUUUUAUUUUUGCAGCAUUUUGUGACUUAUUUUCAUUGCAUGGCAAAAUCUAGCCUUUAUUAGUCACAUCCAAUUGUGGGCUUUUUUUGUCACAGUAAAAAUUGGCACAAUCUGGGCUUUUUUUUUCACAACAAAAGGCCUCUAGGCCCCCGAGGUAGGGUGUUCGGGCUGGGUGACUCUCGUCCCGAACGCAUGCGUUCGGUCGAUGCAUCCCACAGGACCGAAUGAGUCGUUUGAUCUGGGGCUCUCCCAGACCGAACGUUCGGCAGUUAUCGGGGUCCCAAAUUAAUUGGUGAUAGGCACAAUCACUAUUGAUUUGUUAAUGAUGCCAGCCAAGUUUAUGGGCGUGCUUUUUGUGGACGUGAAGAGAGCGAGGAUAAUUCCUUGCAGGAGGGUUUACAUGAAGAGGGAGAAUGCCGGCAGCUGGAAUUCUGGGCUGGAAAAGGAGCAAAUAUUAGAGACCUAUUCUGCACAACUCGAAAAGUCCUGAAACUUCAUGGGAGCAUGUUUUGGAAUAUAUAAAAAAUACUGGCGAAAGAAUUAACCAGAGGGAGCCCACACCCUGGCCACGAGGGUGGGGGGCGCGCCCCCUGUCUCGUGGGCCCCCUGGCAGGCCUCUGGUGCCCAUCUUCUGCUAUAUGAAGUCUUUCGUCCGAGAAAAAAAUCGUAAGCAAGCUCACGGGACGAAACUCUGCCACCACGAGGCGGAACCUUGGCAGAACCAAUCUAGGGCUCCGGCGGAGCUGUUCUGCCGGGGAAACAUCCCUCUGGGAGGGGGAAAUCAUCACCAUCGUCAUCACCAUCGAUCCUCUCAUCGGGAGGGGGCCAAUCUCCAUCAACAUCUUCACCAGCACCAUCUCAUCUCAAACCCUAGUUCAUCUCUUGUAUCCAAUCUUUGUCUCAAAACCUUAGAUUGGUACCUGUGGGUUACUAGUAGUGUUGAUUACUCCUUGUAGUUGAUGCUAGUUGGUUUAUUCGGUGGAAGAUCAUAUGUUCAGAUCCUUUAUGCAUAUUAAUACCCCUCUGAUUAUGAACAUGAAUAUGAUUUGUGAGUAGUUACGUUUGUUCCUGAGGACAUGGGAGAAGUCUUGCUAUAAGUAGUCAUGUGAAUUUGGUAUUCGUUCGAUAUUUUGAUGAGAUGUAUGUUGUCUCUCCUCUAGUGGUGUCA
rnacentral:rRNA from 1 species